rnacentral:rRNA from 1 species
UACGUAGGGGGCGAGCGUUGUCCGGAUUCAUUGGGCGUAAAGAGCUCGUAGGCGGUUUGGCAAGUCGGAUGUGAAAUCUCUGGGCUCAACUCAGAGAGGCCAUUCGAGACUGCUAUGACUAGAGUCCGGUAGGGGACCAUGGAAUUCCUGGUGUAGCGGUGAAAUGCGCAGAUAUCAGGAAGAACACCCGUGGCGAAGGCGGCUCUCUGGGACGGUACUGACGCUGAGACGCGAAAGCAUGGGGAGCGAACAGG